UACAGAGGGGGCAAGCGUUAUUCGGAAUUAUUGGGCGUAAAGGGCGCGUAGGCGGCAUGGCAAGUGGAAGGUGAAAUCCCUCGGCUUAACCGAGGAACUGCCCUCCAAACUGCUUUGCUUGAGGCCGGGAGAGGUGAGUGGAAUUCCAGGUGUAGCGGUGAAAUGCGUAGAUAUCUGGAGGAACACCGGUGGCGAAGGCGGCAUCCUGGACCAACACUGACACUGAUGAGCGAAAGCCAGGGGAGCAAACGGG
rnacentral:rRNA from 1 species